GAACACUGCAGCCUUGCAUAUUGAAUAUGAAAGACAUUUACACGUGGCUUUGUGGACAUCAUUGACCCUUCCCACAAGGCUAGGGACCGUCUAUCAAGAGCUGUCUGUGAAAAUUAAAUGAGUCAGCAUCCACUAACUUCCNNNNNNNNNNCUGCUGAGGGAUUCUGGAGGAAAACAGAUGAAAAAACAGGAGCAUUGAAAACGGGACAGGACAUAAAAGGAUUGCGAAUUAAGAUGUCACAUGUCUGCUAAAAUUAUAUGAUUCCAGCUGCUGGUCUUUGCAGAGUAUUCAACCCCUCGUGGACAUGGAGAGCUUUCAGUAAGGGACUGGAUUGUAAAGUCAGCGGUAAGUAUGAAAACAUUACAAACGCAACUAACCAAUACAGAACAGUCAAUUCCCAUGGAACUUUUUGCAAGAGCCACUGAGUCCUUUAGGUAUCACCUCAGGGACACCAAGUGGAUCGGUUUCUAGUGGAUGACUCUUGAUUGCUUUGAGUCAGUUUGCACUUUCGAGACGCUCCCCAAGCGAUCAGUUAGCUGGCAGUGUGAGUUUUGAAGCCAUACAGCCAUAGUGGAGAGUAGAAGAGAGGCAGGCUCGCUCUCAUAUCACCGCUUCACAGAGUACGACUCGUCCCGCCUGAUACGCUCACACACGCUCUCUCUUUUCCCUCACACACUUGUGCGGAAAGCCACACACCAUCCCUCCUGUCACUGGGACAAUGUGUAUGGAGAACCUGAUGACUACUGGCUGGUGACAAUAGAAAACAAAAGAACGACCCAACGGUGGGAAGAGGGACGAUCCGGUUGGGAUCUUGGAAGCCGAUGCUGCAGCCAGGAGUAUCUGCAGGCUUAAUUGGGCGACUCAACCCGAGCAGCUGUGCACAGCCCACACGCGGAAGCUGAGAAGGGACAGCAGAACCCGAGGAUAGACGCGUACGCCGAGCUGACAAGGCUGGCUGAUGUGGACGUACCACCUGUCAAGUUCUAGCCCUGGCUUUGAGGAUCCAGUGACUGGCGGCAGUCCUGUCAGUGCCGUGUCUCAAUUUGGAGGGGCUUACAGAGAGGACGUUAAUUUACGGGUACUGCUGGCUGUGCCCAAAUGCCAGGGGUGCCGCACAUGGCUGACCUACUUUACUAUUGCCCUAUCCACAUGCAUGCUGACUGCAGUGCUACUAGGACCUGGACUACCCAGUGGAACUCAUUAGCUGCUGCGUAACUACAAGGGAAACUGAUCUUGUGAAAUACCGAAGCAGCGGAAGGUAAUUUAUGUUUGGUGGAAAAUAUUGUGAGGUGUGUAUUUUGACAUUUUAAAGUUGAUACCACAGGCGCUAAUUAUUUUAUUUGCUCAAGAGAAUAUAUCUGGAGAUGCUUCAGGAUUUGAGCUCUCUAGGAUGUCGCUCCAUGUUAAAUCUGAUGAGUCACGCCAUAAUGGAGUAUGACAUCCACCAUCAUUGUAAUCUGAGCUACUUCAUCCAGUGAAUUUUCAAAAACCUUGGUAUCUUUAAUGCUUUCUUUUAUAACGGCC
rnacentral:lncRNA from 1 species